UAAGCAGAUCAGUCUUAUCGCUAUUUUGUGUAUGCAAAGUAGAGGAAAGUCCGGACACCACAGAGUAAGCAUAGCGGAUAACAUCCGUCCAGUGUAAACUGAGGACAAGUGCAACAGAAAGAAUGUACAGGUAAUGCUGUAGUGAAAUCAGGUAAACUCUAUGCGGUGCAAUGCCACGUAUAUUAGAGCUCGAGUGCUACUCGCACGAUUCUAAGGGGUAGGCAGAUUGAUUCUAAUAGUAAUAUUAGAACUAGAUAAAUGAUAAGAACUUUUGAAGUUACAGAAUCCGGCUUAUUGGUCUGCUUUUCUU
rnacentral:RNase_P_RNA from 1 species